rnacentral:rRNA from 1 species
CAGCCGCCGCGGGAAUACGAAGGGGGCUAGCGUUGUUCGGAAUUACUGGGCGUAAAGCGCACGUAGGCGGAUAUUUAAGUCAGGGGUGAAAUCCCAGAGCUCAACUCUGGAACUGCCUUUGAUACUGGGUAUCUUGAGUAUGGAAGAGGGGAGUGGAAUUCCGAGUGUAGAGGUGAAAUUCGUAGAUAUUCGGAGGAACACCAGUGGCGAAGGCGGCUCACUGGUCCAUUACUGACGCUGAGGUGCGAAAGCGUGGGGAGCAAACAGGAUUAGAUACCCGCGUAGUCCCUGUCUCUUAUAC